UUUCCGUAGGUGAACCUGCGGAAGGAUCAUUAGUGAACGCUCUCACGUACUUAUGACUAUUCCACCCCUCUGUCAGCUGUGCCCUUCGGGGCUAUUAUACAAACAUGGUGUCCUUAAGGUCACAUAUUAUAACAAAAUAAAACUUUCAACAACGGAUCUCUUGGCUCUG
rnacentral:misc_RNA from 1 species